rnacentral:rRNA from 1 species
UACGUAGGGUCCGAGCGUUGUCCGGAAUUAUUGGGCGUAAAGGGCUCGUAGGCGGUUUGUCGCGUCGGGGAGUGAAAACACGGGGCUUAACCCCGUGCCUGCUUCCGAUACGGGCAGACUAGAGGUAUGCAGGGGGAGAACGGAAUUCCUGGUGUAGCGGUGAAAUGCGCAGAUAUCAGGAGGAACACCGGUGGCGAAGGCGGCUUCCUGGACCGACACUGACGCUGAGGCGCGAAAGCUAGGGGAGCAAACGGG